rnacentral:rRNA from 1 species
AGAGUUUGAUCCUGGCUCAGAGUGAACGCUGGCGGUAGGCCUAACACAUGCAAGUCGAACGGCAGCACAGUAAGAGCUUGCUCUUACGGGUGGCGAGUGGCGGACGGGUGAGGAAUACAUCGGAAUCUACUUUUUCGUGGGGGAUAACGUAGGGAAACUUACGCUAAUACCGCAUACGACCUACGGGUGAAAGCAGGGGAUCUUCGGACCUUGCGCGAUUGAAUGAGCCGAUGUCGGAUUAGCUAGUUGGCGGGGUAAAGGCCCACCAAGGCGACGAUCCGUAGCUGGUCUGAGAGGAUGAUCAGCCACACUGGAACUGAGACACGGUCCAGACUCCUACGGGAGGCAGCAGUGGGGAAUAUUGGACAAUGGGCGCAAGCCUGAUCCAGCCAUACCGCGUGGGUGAAGAAGGCCUUCGGGUUGUAAAGCCCUCUUGUUGGGAAAGAAAUCCAGCUGGUUAAUACCCGGUUGGGAUGACGGUACCCAAAGAAUAAGCACCGGCUAACUUCGUGCCAGCAGCCGCGGUAAUACGAAGGGUGCAAGCGUUACUCGGAAUUACUGGGCGUAAAGCGUGCGUAGGUGGUCGUUUAAGUCUGUUGUGAAAGCCCUGGGCUCAACCUGGGAACUGCAGUGGAAACUGGACGACUAGAGUGUGGUAGAGGGUAGCGGAAUUCCUGGUGUAGCAGUGAAAUGCGUAGAGAUCGGGAGGAACAUCCAUGGCGAAAGCAGCUACCUGGACCAACACUGACACUGAGGCACGAAAGCGUG